rnacentral:rRNA from 1 species
UACAGAGGUCCCGAGCGUUGUUCGGAUUCAUUGGGCGUAAAGGGUGCGUAGGCGGCCCUGUAAGUCAGUGCUGAAAUAUCCCGGCUUAACCGGGAGGGUGGCAUUGAUACUGCAGGGCUUGAGUGAAGUCGAGGUAGGCGGAAUUGACGGUGUAGCGGUGAAAUGCUUAGAUAUCGUCAAGAACACCGAUAGUGAAGACAGCUUACUAGGCUUAUACUGACGCUGAGGCACGAAAGUGUGGGGAUCAAACAGG